UGCGCGAUUACGGGAUUAACAAUAUUGACGUGUAUCGUAAUAGCGUUUACCGGGAGAAAAGUUAUUUCUUUCUCUCUGUUUAUAUUUGUUUUCCUAAGCGAAUGUCUAAAGAUAAAAAAAAGAAAGACUAUUUGAACACUCGUUAUAGGCGUGUGACAAUAUAGGAAUUUUGUCGUGACUGGAGAAAAAUUCGUCGUCAGUGUAUAUAAUAGCAAAAUAUUUACCUUACCUGUUGAU